GGUGAGCUUGCCUCUCAAGCCGUAAUCGACUCUAACAUCCCCUGCUACGUGGUUUCAUGAUGGAACGUGGACUGUGACUGGGCCCCUGAGAGCCUCCUUUCAGCUCCUCCUUGGGCCCAGCGCAGUGAAAAGAGCGUGAGCUCUGGAGUCACACAGGCCUCGGACAGAACUGUGGUCAUGCAUAGAUCACUUAAUCCCUUUGAGCCUCAGUCUUCUCAUCUAUGAAACGAGAGCGGUGAUGGUGACUUCUCACGGGUUAAGGUGACUCCCACAGCUGACGGCAGCAGAGCCUGGUCAGAAUUUGCCCCAGCUGCACAUGCGGGUUUAUUCCUAGUCGCCUGUAGCCUCUCUGUAUUUCGUUGCUGGAGGAGAAGAGUGUCCAGGUGCAGGUAUCACAGCAGAGGGGCCCAGGUCCCUGCCUGUCUCAGGAGCAGUUUGUGCUGCGUCCCUCACCCCCGCCGCCCCGGGGUCCGCAUGAAUGUCCUGCCCUCUGUGUCCAUCCUACCUGCUGCCGCAGCCACACACGUCUCCCUACAGGUGCGGGGAGCACCUCCCAACAGUUUUGGAGGUAAAGCGUCAUGGAGGAGACGAGCCUGAGUCGUUCCAGACAGCCGCGUGGGCGGCUCCCAAGACCUGGGCAAAGGGAGCCUCACGCUGGGCCAACCUCGGUCCCUUAAAAUAAGAUCCUUUUACAUGGGUCCUGGGCCGGGGCUGUGCUCGGCACGGGGGACACAGCAAGAUGGCACUGGUCGGGCCUCCGAGGAGCACAGUCUAGGGUGGGGUUACACCAACCCCUCCCAGGAGUUGCUAUAGCACCAGGUCGGUGCCCCAGAGGUGAUACAGGCUGCGGCCAGAACGUGGAGGAAAGAGCAGCUUCUGGAUCUGCAGUCUUCAUGGAGGAAGUCACAUUUGAACUGGCCUUUGAGGGGCAGGCAGGUGCUGCUCUCGCCCUGGUGCCGCCAUCUGGGAGACAUAUGAGCUGGACAUCAGGCUCUCGCUGGACUCUUGGUUUUCUCAUGUCCCCAGAGCUGCCUGGACCUAGCACCCAUGAACUUUGCUCCUGGAGUUAAGGACAGUGCUGGAUUCUGCUCCUGGCAGAGAAGUGGGAAGGACCAUGUGGGAAAGAGGCUUCUGGUUUGCUCUUUCUCUCAAUCUUCAGCCUUUAAUGUUUAUAGGCUGGAGGUGAAUGUUUAUGCAGCGGAGAGGAGGUGAAGACACAGAAUGAAGACAAAAGCCCCUAGCCUUUGAUGCUUUUCUUCACGGGCUCUUUGGUGGACUCACAAGUUCAUGGAAGUUCCAUGAGCCCUGAGGCCUCGGCAGGUCCCACAGAGCACGUGGGUUCGUUACCACCAGCGUCACCUAGGAAGCCCACCUGAUGAAUCUAGAGAGCGGCGUCCCCAGACAGAACCAAAGAAAGGGAAGCGGCUGUCCCACAGGGAGGACGCUCACCACAGUUGAACGUAAGUGAGAACGAGGUACUAUUUUAAACAAGAAAACUGAAAAACAGAUGGGCUGCGGUUUCCAGACUUCACGUCUCCAACAUCAUGACAGAAACCAGGAGUCAACCCAGUGGAGGCUCUAGGACCGGAUUCUACAUUUCUGAUGCGGGCCAAGUCCUUGCUGAGGAGGCAGUGUUGGAGCUUCCGGCUGGUGGUGGGGGGACCGGGCGCCCCCCCCAACCCCGCCCUCCCAGCAUCACUGUCCCCCCGGGAGGACUCGGGACGCGGUGACUAAGCCUCGCAUGCUGUCGCCUGCACAGAAGCCGCUGAGCAACCGUCUGGAGUAGGCGCUUGGAAUUGUUUUUCUAGAGGUGGUGGCAGGAGGCCCUAGUGACCAGUGGUCUCUGCCCUCGUCCCCCCCUGGAGCCCGGGUUCUUCUUCAGAAUGGGGUUCGGCAGUGUGGGACUCCGGACCAUGUUUUAUUCUGUGCAAAGAGGCCCUUUGACAGGUCAGGUCUGAGUCCCAAACCCCUCAUCCCCUCAGAGAAGGAUGAAUUGAUCCCAGCGGACUGCUCAGCUAAACGUGACCUAAUGUAACAAGUGGCCUGGGACUGCAGAUGGACCCGGAGACUAAGCUCUGCCUCCUCAUAACUCAGACAAGGGAUCUGAGUAGAAAGGAAGUCUUGUGAACACAAGAAAAAGUACUUGGAGAAAACAUAUGAACUUUAGCUGUGGACAGGCUUGUAACAAGGAAAACUUCUCAUAGCUGGUUUGGCGGGGGUCACCAGAAAGCCCCUUCUCCUGGCAGAGGCAUGGAGUCUGAAGGAGAGCAUGUUCUGGGAGGGGGGGCCCUCACACAGUGCUCCCCAUAAUGUGCUUCAUGGAGCACUUGUCCUUGGAAGUCAUUUUCACUAGGAAAGUGUUCACUGGUCUAAUAAGAUUGAAAGAUGCUGCAUUCUCUGCUUGGAGAGUCAUGAUAUACAUUAAUAAUGACUCAAAAACCCAUACUUGAGAAAACGCUGAACUCAGUUUAACCCUGUGUUUCUCAAAUUGGCUUGAUGGUAGAACACUAACAUUGCAAAAUGUCUAUGGAACACAUUUUGCGGAAAUUUGCUUUACUGGAAGAUGUUACAUGAUGCCUGUGGUUGACAGCAUCUUCCCUUCAAGCUGGGAAGCAAAUAUUCCUCAAGGAUCACAGCCUCUGUCCAUUUGAAUGGAGGGGUGUCCGUGCUGGCUCAGGGCCAAGUUGUGUAGCCCUCGCCUGCAGCUGGAAGUUCAAUGUGACAUCCUUAAGAAGGAUGGGGCAGGGGGUAGGGGGCUUUGCCUUUAAAGAUUAGCUUCCUCAGGCUUCCCUGUGGCUCAGUGGUAAAGAAUCUGCCUGCCAGUACAGGAGACACAGGUUUGAUCUUUGGUCUUGGAGGAUCCCACAUGCUUCAGAGCAACUAAGCCCAUGC